UGAGGUCGGCAACCAACGUUCGGAACUC
rnacentral:sRNA from 1 species